AAAGGUUAAAUUAGUUUAAUGUAAAUAAAAAGUUUAAAAGUAUUGAAGCUAAUAAGUCUAUGAUAUAAACUAGGAUUAGAUACCCUAUUAUACUUAGAUGAAAUAAAAAAGAGUUAAUUAGUAUUAGUUAUUUUCUUAAAAUUAAGAGAAUUUGGCGGUUAAUUAGUCUUGUUAGAGGAACCUGUUUUUUAAACGAUAAACCACGAAAAUCUUACUUAAGUUUGUAUACCGUCAUUAUUAGAUGAUUUUUAUUGAAAUAAUUGUUUAAAUUUAAUUUGGUUAAAUAUAUUAGAUCAAGGUGCAGCUUAUAUAUAAGUUAAAAUGGGUUACAAUAAAAUUUAUUUAUAAUGGAUUUAUUCUAAUGAAGGAGGAUUUAAUUGUAUAUAAAGUUAAUAAUUUUGUAUGAUAUCAGCUCUGAUUUAUGUACAUAUCGCCCGUCACUUUC
rnacentral:rRNA from 1 species